rnacentral:rRNA from 1 species
AGGGUUUGAUCCUGGCUCAGAGUGAACGUUAGCGGCGUGGAUUAGGCAUGCAAGUCGAAUGCGAAAUCGCAAGAAAGUAGCAUGGCGUAAGGGGCAGGAAUGCAUAGAUAACUUACCCUCAGGUCUGGGACAUACACGGGAAACUGUGUGCAAUACUGGACGUUGUUGUUGGAACGCAUGUUCCGGCAUCUAAAGCUGAGGCGCCUGGGGAGAGGUCUAUGUCCUAUCAGCUAGUUGGUGAGGUAAUGGCUCACCAAGGCUUCGACGGGUAGGGGGCGUGAGAGCGUGACCCUCGUCACCGGCACUGAGACACUGGCCGGACACCUACGGGUGGCUGCAGUCGAGAAUCUUCCACAAUGGACGAAAGUCUGAUGGAGCGACGCCGCGUGGUGGAUGACGGCCUUCGGGUUGUAAACACCUGAGAUGGAAGGGAAUAAUGACCCAACCAUUAAGGAAGCACGGGCUAAGUUCGUGCCAGCAGCCGCGGUAAGACGAACCGUGCAAACGUUACUCGGAAUCAUUGGGCUUAAAGCGCACGUAGGCGGCGACGUAAGUUAGAGGUGAAAUCCCAUCGGCUCAACCGUGGAACUGCCCCUAAUACUGCGUUGCUUGAGGGAGACAGGGGCAAGUGGAACCACCAGUGGAGCGGUGAAAUGUGUUGAUAUUGGUGGGAACGCCGGUGGCGAAAGCGGCUUGCUGGUUCUUUUCUGACGCUGAGGUGCGAAAGCUAGGGGAGCGAACGGGAUUAGAUACCCCGGUAGUCCUAGCCGUAAACGAUGGGUACUAGGUAGUAAGACUGCCGAAGUCCUUCUGCCGGAGCGAAAGCGUUAAGUACCCCGCCUGGGGAGUAUGGUCGCAAGGCUGAAACUCAAAGGAAUUGACGGGGGCUCACACCAGCGGUGGAGCAUGUGGCUUAAUUCGCCUACGCGAAGAACCUUAUCCUGGGUUUGACAUGCUUGAGAACCUCACUGAAAGGUGGGGGUGCCCUUCGGGGAGCUCUUGCACAGGUGCUGCAUGGCUGUCGUCAGCUCGUGUUGUGAGAUGUCGGGUUAAGUCCCUUAACGAGCGAAACCCUUAUCGUUAGUUGCCAGCGUAAAGUCGGGAACUCUAACGAGACUGCCGGUGUUAAACCGGAGGAAGGUGGGGAUGACGUCAAGUCCUCAUGGCCUUUAUGCCCAGGGCUGCACACGUGCUACAAUGGGGAGUGCAAAGGGUCGCAACGUCGCGAGGCGAAGCUAAUCCCAGAAAGCUCCCCCCAGUUCGGAUUGAAGGCUGCAACUCGCCUUCAUGAAGCCGGAAUCGCUAGUAAUCGUGGGUCAGCCAUACCACGGUGAAUGUGUUCCUGAGCCUUGUACACACCGCCCGUCAAGCCACAAGAGCGGGGAGUCCGUGAAGUCGCUGCGCUAACCUUCGGGGGGCAGGCGCCUAGCGGAAGACUCGUAAUUGGGACUAAGUCGUAACAAGGUA